UGAGGUAAUGGCCUACCAAGGCGACGACGGGUAGCCGGCCUGAGAGGGCGACCGGCCACACUGGGACUGAGACACGGCCCAGACUCCUACGGGAGGCAGCAGUGGGGAAUAUUGCGCAAUGGGCGAAAGCCUGACGCAGCGACGCCGCGUGCGGGAUGAAGGCCUUCGGGUUGUAACCGCUUUCAGCAGGGACGAAGCGAAAGUGACGGUACCUGCAGAAGAAGCGCCGGCUAACUACGUGCCAGCAGCCGCGGUAACACGUAGGGCGCAAGCGUUGUCCGGAAUUAUUGGGCGUAAAGAGCUCGUAGGUGGUCCGCCACGUCCGCUGUGAAAAUCCAGGGCUUAACCCUGGACUUGCAGUGGAUACGGGCGAACUAGAGGUAGGUAGGGGAGAAUGGAAUUCCCGGUGUAGCGGUGAAAUGCGCAGAUAUCGGGAGGAACACCGGUGGCGAAGGCGGUUC
rnacentral:rRNA from 1 species